rnacentral:rRNA from 1 species
GAUGAACGCUGGCGGCGUGCUUAACACAUGCAAGUCGAACGGUAAGGCCCUUCGGGGUACACGAGUGGCGAACGGGUGAGUAACACGUGGGUGAUCUGCCCUGCACUUCGGGAUAAGCCUGGGAAACUGGGUCUAAUACCGGAUAGGACUCCGGACUGCAUGGUCUGGGGUGGGAAGCUUUUGCGGUGUGGGAUGGGCCCGCGGCCUAUCAGCUUGUUGGCGGGGUGAUGGCCUACCAAGGCGACGACGGGUAGCCGGCCUGAGAGGGUGACCGGCCACACUGGGACUGAGAUACGGCCCAGACUCCUACGGGAGGCAGCAGUGGGGAAUAUUGCACAAUGGGCGCAAGCCUGAUGCAGCGACGCCGCGUGAGGGAUGACGGCCUUCGGGUUGUAAACCUCUUUCAGCAUCGACGAAGCGAAAGUGACGGUAGGUGCAGAAGAAGGACCGGCCAGCUACGUGCCAGCCGCCGCCGUAA